AAAUUGAAGAGUUUGAUCAUGGCUCAGAUUGAACGCUGGCGGCAGGCCUAACACAUGCAAGUCGAACGGUAACAGAAAGCAGCUUGCUGCUUUGCUGACGAGUGGCGGACGGGUGAGUAAUGUCUGGGAAACUGCCUGAUGGAGGGGGAUAACUACUGGAAACGGUAGCUAAUACCGCAUAACGUCGCAAGACCAAAGAGGGGGACCUUCGGGCCUCUUGCCAUCGGAUGUGCCCAGAUGGGAUUAGCUUGUUGGUGGGGUAACGGCUCACCAAGGCGACGAUCCCUAGCUGGUCUGAGAGGAUGACCAGCCACACUGGAACUGAGACACGGUCCAGACUCCUACGGGAGGCAGCAGUGGGGAAUAUUGCACAAUGGGCGCAAGCCUGAUGCAGCCAUGCC
rnacentral:rRNA from 1 species